rfam:Deltaproteobacteria bacterium CG2_30_63_29 cg2_3.0_scaffold_2777_c, whole genome shotgun sequence.
CGAAUCCCGCCCAGCUAGAGCUUAACGAGCAGGCUGGUAGCGAGUUUUGCGUGGUCGCCGGUAACGUCGGCUACGAAGCGUAAACAGCGAGCUGAUAGGCUGAGGGGUAAGCCCCGAAAUUCUUUUGAUUCCGAGGGCCGACAGUUUCCUUGGACUGGAAGGC